rnacentral:misc_RNA from 1 species
GAUGAAGAACGCAGCGAAAUGCGAUAAGUAAUGUGAAUUGCAGAAUUCAGUGAAUCAUCGAAUCUUUGAACGCACAUUGCGCCCUCUGGUAUUCCGGGGGGCAUGCCUGUUCGAGCGUCAUUAUAACCACUCAAGCUCUCGCUUGGUAUUGGAGUUCGCGAUCUCGCGGCUCCUAAAAUCAGUGGCGGUGCCUGUCGGCUCUACGCGUAGUAAUACUCCUCGCGAUUGAGUCUGGUAGGUUUACUUGCCAGCAACCCCCAAUUUUUACAGGUUGACCUCGGAUCAGGUAGGGAUACCCGCUGAACUUAAGCAUAUCAAUAAGCGGAGGA